UUUUUACAAUUAUGUGUGUGUAAAUGUGCUUACACUUGUGUGCUCAUGUGUGUGAUGUUCAGAGAAAAACCUUAGGUAUCAUGCACGUCUAAAAUAGAAUCUCCCAUUGGCCCAGAGCUCACCAAUUAUCUUUGCUUAACUGCCUAGUAAGCCCAAGGAAACAUAUUCUCAUUUGAGACAGAAAAUAAACAUUGAUAGACAUUAAAAUGGCUACUGUGAAUAUUAAGAUAUUAGAUAACAGCUAUGGACCUUAAUUAGAUUACUUGAGAUAAGACAAUAGUAACACAUUUAACUACACAGUUCAGAAUCUUUGCUACUUAUUCUUCUGAUGUAGAUAAUCAAGGAAACAAAUGUUACCCUGCUUGUCACCUCUCAGCAUAGCACUCAUACAAACUAUUUACUAAAGGUAAAAACGUUUUUUCCAAAAUGUCUGUAAAGAAUGUCUAUUGUAGGUUAUUUGGUGGGAUGCUUACCUGGCCUGCACUAAACUACACUGCAUAAACCAGGUUGGACUGAGCCUACCUGUGAUCCUAGCAGUCGGUAGAUAGAGAAACCGAAGUUCAAGGCCAUUCUCAACUACUUACCAAGUUCUCAGACAGCCUGGAGUAUUUGAGACACUCUCUGAGAAUGGAAUCUAACACAGUUGUCUUCCAAAUCUAACCAAAAUGCCUCCUUACUUUCUAACAUACAAAUAAAAAGUAUUAGUUCUGGUUUAUUUUAACUUUAGAACCAAUGUAGGAAAACAACUAUACUUUUUUCAUUAAAAUAAGCCAAUUCAAGUGGGUAACGUCCAAAUGUGUCUUGGAAUUAGGUAGGUAUUGUGGUCAUUUCUCAGCGCUAGCUGGGUAAUUGGCUAUUUCAUUUAAAACAUUAGGAUUUCUAUAAGUCCCCUCUCUGGCCUUCUUCAAGCAACAUUUAUAUUUGUACAUGGUGAAUGUAAUUAGGCUUUUUAUCACUAGCCAUUUUAAAAAACAGAUUUGAGAGAUCAUUUUAAAGAUUUAAAAUGUGUUUUAAAUUAAAUUAAUAAUUGUAAAUAUGCAUCUGUGGCUUUUGCAUGCUCACAAUCCAACAGAUUGCUCCUAUUAACAAUACAAAAGAGCAAUAAGAUUUGGAAAGGGAAAAAAGAAAACUUAAGUGAAAACCACAAGUAGAAGAGCUGAAUGGCUGCUAGUAUGUAGAGAGUUAGAGCAGCAAGCAGGACUAAAGAGCUCCUGCAGAUGGAUCUGGUGGUUGGCUUGUGAUGGGCAGAAGAAAAAAUGCAAAUUGGACCAAUGUGAGAUACAGAGCUUCUUUUGCCAAAGCAUCCUGGACUCCUUGCUGGGAAAGAGCAAUAUAAAUAAGCACAGGCAGUGAAAAGCAACAAAAGCUAUGAAAAACCCUUGCUCACAUGGAGAACAUGAACUGCCUAAUGUCAAAAAGAAGUCUCACAGAUACUUAUACAGACAAGGGUAGCAGGUUGUCAAGAUGUUUGCCAUUGCCUACAUGGCUAACAGGGAACAUAGUGUUUUAGUUUUUUGUUUGUUUGUUUGUUUGUUUUCUGUUGUCAAACUUGAAGCCUAUCAUAGAGCAGAUUUAAGGGGCACUACAUUUCAGAAAGGAAACGUAGGUUCAUUUGCACCAUUGAAAGAGUCAGAUCUAAUGGUCACUAUUGAGUGAAGCACAUUUCUUUUCCAUUUACUAGAAACAUAAGACUAUAAAACACAAGUGCUUUUGGUUUGACUUUGAGGUUACUAAAAUGCUCUGUGUCAGAGAGGUUGCUUUACCAAAUGUUAAACUAUUAAGUUGAAAAGAGACCAAGUGGAUGAGUGCAAAAGAUUAUGCUGGGAAUUGAACCUAAAGCCUUGAGCCUUGAGCCUUGAGCCUUACAAAUGCAAGGUAAGUGUUUUCCCACUGGGCUAUAACUCGACCAUUGUGGUUCUUAAGAAAAUACCCUAUAUAUGUAGUCACAUAAGUCUAAUCCCCAGCUACAUACAAGGUGAGACAGGAAGACCAGGACUUCAAGCCCAAGCAACAUCAUAAGAUUUUUUUCUCAAAAAGCAUAAAAUAAGUAUACACUGUAGUGUAUACAAGUAAAUACACUGUUUUAAUGUGUAAUGACAUCGAUUCUUUUAUAAUGAUUAAUUAUUUAUUUUAUUUUAUUUUCAUUUGUGUUUUGUCUGUGUGAAGGUGUUAGAUCCCAUGGAACUAGAGUUAUAGAGAGCACCAUGUGGGCUCUGGGAAUUGAGCCCAGGGGGAAGAGCCUCAGCACUGAUUCUAAUUUUCAAUCAUUUGUUGUAGUUAUUUAAAGAGUUGCUACCUAUGAAUACAUGUGUUUGUUUGUUUGUUCAUUUGUUUUUCUGAACUGGGCCCUCAUAUAACCCAGGCAGGCCUGGAAAUCUAAACAGAUGAUGCAGGCAUUUCCUGUUUUAGUGCUUUAACUUAAAAGUAAGAUGAAAUAAGUCCUUUCCUACCCAUGUUGGUUUUGAUCACAAUGUUUACCACAAUAUAAAGCAAGGUAACACUGAACUUGGUACCCUGAGUAGAGGGCUACUCUAGGCUGGUGACAAACGUGACCAUGUUGUUUAGGGGGAGGGUAGUAGAAAGGUUUGGAACUUUUGGGCUGAAAGAUAAGGCUGCUUGAGGACAUUGUUUCACACAGUCCACUCAUCAUGGAGACAUUAGAUCUACUCUGUAAACAGCACUAAAGGAUAGUGUGAUAGGCUACGAUCAUUUUUGAAAUGUGCUACAGUACCUUUAAGAGGGAUGAGGAAUGGACCGUACAUGAAACACCUAGUGAAUGAAGAAUGAACACUGAGGCAGUUUCUUCCAGUAGUAUUAGCCUAAAUAGAGGGAAAAUUAUAAUAUAUUAAAAGAAAGAAAGAAAGAAAGAGAGAGAGAGAGAGAGAGAGAGAGAGAGAGAGAGAAAGG
rnacentral:lncRNA from 1 species